GUUUCUUCUGGGCUCUUUGAAACCAAGCUGAGGAGGGGAGAUGGGCCUGUUCUUAUCAGUUUAAUAUCUGAUACGUCUUCGAUGUGAAGACGCUAUGUUAAGCAGCUUUUUGGAGAAAGGAGGUGGGUUGGGAGCUUGCUCCAUCCCCUCCGCGCAUCGGCCUGGUAUUGCAGUACUUCCAGGCUAGGAAAUAUUUUU